UACAUGUGGGGCAAGCGUUGUUCGGAAUUACUGGGCAUAAAGGGUGCGUAGGCGGUUUGUUAAGUCAGGGGUGAAAGUUUUCGGCCCAACCGGAAAAUGGACCUUUGAUCACUGGCGAACUCGAGUGCGUGAGGGGUAACCGGAACGAGUGGUGUAGCGGUGAAAUGCGUAGAUAUCACUCGGAAGGCCAAAGGCGAAGGCAGGUUACUGGUACGCAACUGACGCUGAGGCACGAAAGCGUGGGGAGCAAACAGG
rnacentral:rRNA from 1 species